rnacentral:rRNA from 1 species
GACGAACGCUGGCGGCGUGCUUAACACAUGCAAGUCGAACGGAAAGGCCCUGCUUUUGUGGGGUGCUCGAGUGGCGAACGGGUGAGUAACACGUGAGUAACCUGCCCUUGACUUUGGGAUAACUUUAGGAAACUGGGGCUAAUGCCGGAUAGGAGCUCCUGCUGCAUGGUGGGGGUUGGAAAGUUUCGGCGGUUGGGGAUGGACUCGCGGCUUAUCAGCUUGUUGGUGGGGUAGUGGCUUACCAAGGCUUUGACGGGUAGCCGGCCUGAGAGGGUGACCGGCCACAUUGGGACUGAGAUACGGCCCAGACUCCUACGGGAGGCAGCAGUGGGGAAUAUUGCACAAUGGGCGGAAGCCUGAUGCAGCAACGCCGCGUGCGGGAUGACGGCCUUCGGGUUGUAAACCGCUUUCGCCUGUGACGAAGCGUGAGUGACGGUAAUGGGUAAAGAAGCACCGGCUAACUACGUG